rfam:Myotis brandtii contig177892, whole genome shotgun sequence.
GCCAGUGUUGCUCAAUGGUUAGAGCAUCUGCCUGCACAUUGAAGGGUCAUGGGUUUGAUUCCUAGUCAAGGGCA